GAUUAAAAAAAAGGAGAGUUAGCUCCUCUUACUUGGUGUUUAUACUUGACUGGCUUCUUAUACUGUAGUUCCAGCACUGUUUGUCUUAGAAGAAGACUCAAAGAACUAAGACAUAUCAACUGUAAUUGAAAAUGCACAGCUCAUUCUGCACCUCUGGUCUAACAUCUCUUUGUCAAGAGUUGGGAAGCCUGCUUCGUCAUCAGACAUGUACAGCUUUUAAGAAAGGUGAUGCAGCACAGACAUGAUCCUGAAGGCUUUGGCUGGGGACUUUGCAAUGAAGAAAUGCCAUUAGAUGUUUAUUCACCAUGCACCUAACUAUAAAUAAAGUCAGCAAUUGAGUUAUAGCACU